rnacentral:rRNA from 1 species
ACGAAGGGGGCUAGCGUUGCUCGGAAUUACUGGGCGUAAAGCGCACGUAGGCGGUCUUUUAAGUCGGGGGUGAAAUCCUGGAGCUCAACUCCAGAACUGCCUUCGAUACUGGAAGACUUGAGUCCGGGAGAGGAUGGUGGAACUCCCAGUGUAGAGGUGAAAUUCGUAGAUAUUGGGAAGAACACCCGUGGCGAAGGCGGCCAUCUGGACCGGUACUGACGCUAAGGCGCGACAGCGUGGGGAGCAAACAGGA